ACCACACUGAUUCAGUUCAGCUAGUGUUAUAAGCUGACCACCACAGGGGUGAGCCAAAGGCUUUCACACUGAGCCACAUCCCCACUCCUUAAAAAAAAUUUUUUUUAUGAAAAGAUUUUGAGACAGCAGCUUGCUAAAUAGCUAAGUUUCCCAGGCUGGUCUUGAACUUGCAACUUCCCUGCCUCAGCCUUCCUGAGUUCUGGGAUGACAGCUGCAUACUACUAUACCCUGAUCCUUGGGCAAAUUUCUGAAUUCUCUCUGAGUCUCAGUUUCCUCAAAAGUAAAAUAGAGAUAAGACCUGUCUCCUAGUUUGCUGUGGGUAUUACAGGAGUAACGAUACCCAUGAAGUCUUUGGUCUGCCAUUAGGGGCCCAUGAAAAGAAGGGGAAGGUGGCAUGAGAUACACCCAGAAAACUCAUCUAGGGGCAAGGAUCUUACUUUUGUUUGUGUGUUUGACUUUGUACUCGUUUUGGGGAUUAGUAUUGCGUGGCUGCCCAUGGCUGCAGGAAUCAGAGAUGGAAAUUCUGAGAAUGUGGGGAGAUGCAGGGCAGACUUGGGCACAGGCAGGGUGUACAGCCAGUAGCUGUGUACAGAAUACUGUGACAGAACCACGUGACAGCUCCUGGCCCAACCCUUAGGAGCUGGGUGCACCUGAACAAAGUGCCUAAGUUUCAUUUUUUCAUCUGCAAAAUCGGCUCAAUAAUGGGACAUUACUACUCAGCACCACCUCAGUUAUUCCGCUUUCACUUGCUACGAAUAUAUUUUCCCCAUUCAUCCUCAUAACACCCCUAUGGGACAGUGUGGGGGCUGUAGGGACACAACCCCACUGUCCAGCACAGGUGCGCAGCAGCACACAUUUGCGUAAGCAGGCCAUAGCGUAGACAGCUAUGCUGGUGCUACCUGGUUUUGACAGCACAUAGGACUGUAAAGCUCAAUAAUGGCCACUAUAUACAGGCCAAGCAGUAAAGACGCUGAUGGCAGCUCUGUGUGGUUCCUUCUCCCUGGGAACUCACCUGAAAAUACCCCUCCAACCCCCAACCCAGACAGGCAGGCAUUAACAUCUUCAUUCUACAGAUGAGGGCACUGAGGCAAAGAAGGGCGAGCUGCUGCUCAAGUCCACACACUCCAUUUCUUACUCUGAGAAGGUACCAGAGCCUGAGCUCUUAAUGCCAUUUUAGGAGCAUCCAAUGAACAAUAAUAUGCCUCUCACUUAUUGAGAUUCUUGUUCAGUGCUGCAUUCCCUCUUUUAAUCCUGGGAAUGAAGCCGGAUAAGUGAUGGGCCUCUGAAAGUCACCUAGUAUUUGUGAAAAGACUCUUUUCCCAAGUGGGAGCCUGCUUUGCUUUAUGGAUAGCACAGUUUUGGGGGGGUCUUCACCAUGAGCUGCAUGUGGGGAAUUGUUAAAACAAUGAUGCCAGGACCUGGGGGUGUAGCUCAGUGGUACAGCCUUGCCUUGCACAUGCGAGUCCAUGAGUUUGAUCCUCAGCACUACGAACACAAAACAAAAUGAAACAAGAAGAAAUGAUGCUAGAUCCCAUGUCACAGUUUCUGACUCCAUUACUCUGGGCUGGGAACCUUACAAGGAGAGUUUUUAAAAGCACCUGGGUGAUUCCAGUUUGCAGGUGUGAUUGAGAACACAAUACAAAGGUUUCUCCCCCCCACCAGGGUGGUACUGAAUCUGAGCAGUUUCUAGAUUCUGAGUUUAUUGUGUGAGAUGGGGGGCCUUACUCACUGAGCUAAUUAAUGCCUGGUGGACCCCACCAGGUGCUAAACACUGAGUCAAGACAUAGAAUCCUGGAAUGGUGACUCAUCCUGAUCUUAGUGAUUCCUGAUCUUAGUGAUUUCCCACCCCAAGGACGCUGUGAGGUCAGAGGUAGGCAAACCAGCACUGUUGGUCACCUUACCGAAUCCUUUCCUAAACCUGUGCAUUUUUAUAGAUACUAUUCAGUUAUUCCACAGCAAAUCUGCAUGUUUUUACUAACCCUAUUCCAUAGCAAACUUCUGAGGGAAGUUGUACUGCUUAACCAAUGUUGCAGCAGUGAAGAAACUGAGGCACAGAGAAUAUUGGUUGCAUAGUUAGUGAAGGAUGGUCACAAAAUAUUUCCAUAAUCAUGAUUUCAUUUUCUCUCAGGGAAACCUGCAAAACUAGGAGAGAUUUUUUGGGGGGAGGUUCAGGGUGGUUAAUGAGUUUCCCAUGGUCUGUGGCCUCUGUCCUAGAUGGGAAACUAGAUCAUCUGAUUAUCUGACCAUCACGUGGUUUCUGUGAAGCUGGGUGGGAGAAUGGAAAUGUCCCCUUGAAGCAAUGUCUUAGUUACUUUUCUUGUUGCUGAGACAAAAUACCUGACACCCAAAGUUUAGGAAGGAAAGAAUUAUUUAGCUUACAGUUUGUAGACGUUUCAGCUCAUAAUCCAAGGCAGGAUGGCAUUGCAGGGCAGAGCAGUUCAUGAUGGGGAGGCUGUAACAAAGCAAUCAGGGAGAGAGAAAAUGAACAUCUUUCUGUUCCUUAUAUUGUAUCCAGGUUACUGGAAUUAGGCUGGUGCUGAACCAAUGAGUGGACUGAUUUAGUAAUCACCCACCUUUAAUCCCAGCAUUGCACCAUGAAUCAGUUGCACACUCUAGAUUCAGCCAUAUCUGAAAACAACCCUAUCAGUGAUUGCAUGAGGUGUUGGGGGAACAUUUAGACACAAGCCAUAACAAGCAGCUUGAGGUUCAUCAGCUUUGACAUGCUCUGCAGAAUAUGGGCAUCCAGACUUCUUCUGCAGCCGCAUGUCAUUGUGGACUCCUUGUCUCCAAGGUCUGAGCUGGCUCUGGAUUGGAAAGGCUAAGAUGAUCCCAGCAGCUAAGCAGGUGCUGUUCAUUUAGAACUCCUCUCCUCGGGUCCCCAGCUCCAUCCAGGGACAUAUAUAAAAGCACCAUCAGACUCCUAAACAGCCUCUGCCCUCUGGGGAGGGUGGAUCAUUCUGGGAGAAUGUCAUCUGAAGUACAGAACCAUGAGGGAAUGUAAGCAGGCUUGUACAAACAAUUCUUUCAGCAUAACCAAUGUUCUAGAGGUUGAUGUAGGGCGAGAAAUGCGAGCCAUGGGUAGGUUAGCCUGGUUUCCCAAUUCAACACAGAUUAAUUUUUUUUUUUUUUUUUUAGCUUUAUAGGAGGGACCAAGAGAUGGAUAGGGGCCUGCCUGUCCUGGAGAAGUGCAGGAAUAUAUUCAAGUUUGAGACAUCAAUGCAGGGAUUCUCAUGGGGCAUGAGCUGAUUUUAGGAUGUAUAAAGACAUAUUUUAAAAAAUGUGCUGGUGGCACUCACCUGUAAUCUCAGCACUCUGGGAGGCUGAGGCAGAAGGAUUGCAAGCUUAAGCUCAGCUUGAGUAACGUAGUAACUCAGUGAAAACCCAUCUCAGAAUAAAAAAUAUAUAAAAAGGGUUGGGGAUGCAGUUCAGUGAGAAACAGGGCCUGCAACCUGCAUUGGCAGGUACUGCAAGCUCACCAUAGUGCCUUGCUACAGGCCCUCUGCCAAGUACGUUUCCAGUAAAAUCGAGCAUCCCCAAUCCAGCAGUGAAAAAUCCAAAAAGUUUUGAGUGUCUUUAUGAGACUACAGGUGGAAAAUUCCAUGCCUGAUCAGCUUCACAGGAUAAAGUGGCUGUCAAAAUGCAGGCACACUAAAACGGAUCAAUGAUAUUGCCUUCAGGACAUACGGAUGAAAGUGUAUGUUCAUACUCUAGGCCUAUCCCCAAAGGUACUGCAUUAUGUAUGGGCAAAUGUUCCAAAAUGCAAAAGCAUCCCAAAUCUGAAACACCUCUAUUCUCUCAAGCACUUUGGAUAAGGAACGCUUAGUAUUAAUUAGUUUAGUUCUCAUAAGCUUUCUAUACAUAAACUUUGUAAUAGAUCCACUUUACAGAUGGGGAACUGAGGCCUAAAGGAGGGAAGUUAUUUACUCAAGGUGAGGCUGCCAUCCUGGCUGGCUGCUUCCCAGAGUCUAUAAGGCUGGUCUGUGGCAGGUGGAGCGCAUGUCCCCACCUGCCCCAAGCUCACUGCUGCCUCCAUUUGGGUGGCAGAGGCUGGCUUUUCUGCUCUCCAGCCCUCGGGAGUCCACUCAGCAAAUUGCAUCUGCUCAGCUUUUAACCCAGCUGCUGUUUCCCCAGGCUUCCAUUUUUAGCUCCGUGGACUGGAACGCAGUGUUCGAUGCACUGUAAACCUCAAUGUCAGUUUGAUUAUAUGAGCGGCGUGUGUGGGCUCCGCACUCUGGCGUGCUCCUUUCCAUGUCUAAUAAUAACACUCUGGAUUCUCUGGGCCCUUUUCUUCCAAGGCUCUCAAAGCAUUUCAUAUGCAAUGUCCCAUUUAAGCUCCCAGCACCCCAGGGAGGCAGCUGGCUGGUGGCUAUUCUAUGAAAGGGCUCUGGAACUAUUCAGUUCUCUUUAAACCAAAAGGGUUCUUGUGAUCGCUGUUUUAAAUGUAAGACAAACUGAGUCAUAGGAGAUAUGCUAAAGGGAGCUGCUCACCAUGUGCAUCUUCUCUUCGCAGUCCUAGAAGAUGCAUUCAUGAAUUGUCCUUUUUUUGGAGGAGAAAAAAGGCUCAGAGAAGCCAAGUCACUAAUUCAAGGUUAUGAAGCUUACAAUUGAUGAACUGUGGGUUUUGAACUAGAUUUAUUUUCAAGGCCUCUGAUUUUUCCAUUGUAUCAUUAAGUGGGACAUUCUAGAAUUAAAGGAACAGAUCUUAAUUUUCUUGGUUCCCAGAGCAGGCCAGCUCCCUGUCUCUGUGCUUAGAGCUUUAUCUGAGGAAACUGUAGACUGAAAGGAUUAUCUGUCAUCAGGCAUGCCCGUCUCUCAUUUUCUAAAAAUCCUGGAAGUAGGGAACCACUUGUUUGCUUUCCUUUCCAACCUCACCACUCAUUCAUUCAUUCACCCACUUAUUCAUAAAAGCAUCAUUCCUGGGUCCAGCAAGCAUUUGUUGCUCUCACCUCUGUGCUAGAUACCAUGUGCAUGAAUGAGUGGGAUGAAAGGACAGUCCUGCUCUGAGUCUCCUUUCUCGAGGGCUGUGAGUUAAGCAAAAGUCCUUUGUGUGACCUGGAACAAGUGACCUCAUCUCUCUGAGCCCCAUUGGGCUUGGAAUGGGGGAUAAUAAUAGCAUGUAUUUUUUUUUAGGAUCAAUGUGAGGUGGGAAUGUAUGCGGUGCAAAAAUAUUUGAAAGCCAAGCAAUGGAUUAAUCUCUGGGUCAGAGUUGAAGGUCAGGUACAAAAGAAUCCAGGUGCUUAUAUGUUGUUUCCACUUGAUCCCUCUCUGUAGUCCUCUCAGCUCUGCCUUCUUUCAUAUCAGCGUCACUCCCAGGUAAGCCCCCCCCACCUUGGUGGCAAGAUGGUCUCUUACAGCUCAAGAGUCAGAUGUUACUCAUAAAUCCAAACAGGAUCUUCUUUUCUUCUGUGGCUGCAGCACAAUUCAUGAACAUGACUUCCAUCAGACCAAGUUGGGUCAUGUGCUUGUCCUUAAACCAGUCACCGAGGUCAUGGGCUGGCAAAUAAAUUGAUUGGCCAAGUCUGUGGCAUGUCCCUCACUCAAACUGGGAGAUGGAGUCACCAGCUUUAAGCAAACCACAGGCCCUAGGAACAGAAGAAGGCACUCGCUCCAAAGGAAAACUAAGUUCUGUUCACAGAAGCAGAAUUGGUGCUGCUAGAAUGGGUUGCCCUAGAAGUAGAUUAGAGAUCAAGAUUUGCAUGCAAGUAAGUUAUUAAUUAAGAACUUCUUAUGGGGGGCUGGGGAUUUAGCUCAGUGGCAUAUGCACCUGCCUUGCAAGUGUGUGAUCGUGAGUUUGAUACCUGGUACCAAUAAAAAAGAAAAAGACAAAAAAAAAAAAAAAAGAACUUCUUAUGGGAGAAACUGGUAAGAAGAUGAGGGAAAUAGGGUAAAGAAAGGGGAGGAAGCCAAAAAAAGAUUUAAAUUCUGGUAAAGUUCCAGCAUAGCCAGAUCUCAUAGGGGAGCUCUGGAAUAUAAAUUGCACCUCAGAGAGUGUCCCACCUCCCAAAUAAGGGAACUGUAUCCACUAGUUAGUCAUCAACAAUGGGUCUUCCCAGGGACUCUGAGUCUGCAGAUGAGGGACAUAGCUGUCGUGUUAAGGGCAAGGCUUGGAAGAGGUGACAGAUACAAAGUUUUAGCAUCAAGGCACACAGAAGCUUUGUGGAAUGUAGAAGUACACAGGAGAUCUGGCUGCAGUACCAGUAAAGUCCUCUCCAGAAGGCAAAAUUAGAGCCAUCCAGAUAGAAGGAGAUUAAGAAGCAAUGAAAAAAAUGAGGCAGAAAAAAGGGAAAGAAUGAAAAUCAGUGGAGAAUUGGGAAGGUGAGAUGAUCUCUAAUCCUGACCAGGAAUGAGGAGCAGAAACCAAAAAGCAGGACACAGUCCUGCUGCCUCCUCGUCCCUGUGUCACACCGCUGCUGACAAUAUCUCUCGUUAUGGUGUCUCUCUCAGAUCUCAGCAACAUGCUGAGACUUUGCUGUGCAGAAGCAGUGGGGCAUGACUCAGCCAAGGGCACAGGCAGCAGGGAGGUCAGAGGGGCCGCUCGGUUCCUGCUUAGAUGAUAAGGUUGGCAUGAGGUCAUGGGCUCUGGGAGUUCUGUUUGCUUGCUCAUACCAAGACUGACCUUCCAGCUGCUGAGGUCUGCAGGCUCAGAGGUCCCUUGGGCUCCUUUGGCUGCGUCCUUCCUACCUACCUCUCACCUCCUCUUUGGUUUCCUUAACAAGAGCAGGUAACAACCUUUCUGUACUAGUUUUCAUCAAUCUGUAUCUUUCCUAAGCCUUCUGGCAUUAGAAUGUUCUGCAGAGGUGCGAGAGGCAGUGAGAAACAAGCAAGGGGUGCAGGAGGACAAGGCAGCAGCCCCAUCUCCACUCACUGCCGCUUGCUCUGUUAAUUAUUUUGAGAGUAAUGAGGUGGGUCAGGCAAGGGAUAAUAAAAGUACAAGUCAUUUAUUGAUCCCUUGCUGGGUAUUAGACUCUGUGCUAAGUGCUCUAUAAGCAUCAUCUCAUGGCGUCACAUUCAAGAGUCAUAGGAACUGAAAUUUUGGGACUCUUCUUGGAAUAGAAACUCAAGCCAAACAUCUUGGGACAAGACAUAUUGGCCCAUGAAAUGGUAAAUGUGGGGAAACUAAGCAUAGCUGGUUCCAAAGGCCGAAUUAUGUCAUUUAAGUAUUUUUCUUCCUAUUAUGCUUUUUUUCUGGCUUGGUUUCACCAUCAAGCAGGUUCUUAUCCUGUCACUGUUCAGUAUCUAAUUAGUUACAGGAGUGCCAGUGAUCUGCUCAGCAACUUCACUGGGUAGAGAGGUUGUCUUUCCCAGAGGUUCAUACUGUAACUGCAUCUCCAGUUUGGAUUCUGAGUUCAUCUCUGAACCAACCAGCAAGGCUGGGCAUGGAGUGCUCUGAUUGGUUAAGCUUUAGUCAUGUGUCCACUUCUGGAAUUGGAGGUGGAGUUAACUUCAUCUAAAAACACACAGAGUGAGAAUGGGGGAGUCCUGGUUCCCCAAAGAAAAGUGCUACACAUUCUUGCUAGUAGAGGAGAUCUGUGUCCUAGGAAGGGGAGAUAAAAGAUGGGAAGUUCAUUAGGAAUUUAUAUUAUUAUUCUUCAUUUACAGAUAAAAAGCAGAGGUCUAGACAAAGACAAUGAUUUUCUUAAGACCACACAACUGGUAAGUGACAAGGUGAUGACUGGAAACCAGUUCAGUCUGAUUCCAGAGUCUGAGUUUUUGACUGCCACCCAGGUAGCUGGUUCAAUGAGAGAAUGUGUUAUUGAAUCUCAUAAGUGCUAUAUCAAUAGGCAGCAAUCCAAUAGGUAGUGAUCCACUUAUUGGAAAUGAGCCUUGAGUCAGGAGCUGAAGGGAUGGAUUCUAUUUCUAGGCUGCUAGUUGUUAGAUAUGGAAUUUUGAACAAGAAAUGUAACUCUGAGGCUCAGUUUCCCCAUCUAUCUGCAGACCAGGGGGGGCAUCCCUUCUGUUUGCCUUAUAGGAUAGCUGAUUGGGUGUGAAAAAUGCCACUGCAUUGUCUGUUUCUUUUGUGUGAUGUGAUUUUUCCUUUGGGUAAUAUUAAGUGUGAGUAUGCAUAAAUUAUACUCAGCCAGUAUCUCAAUAAAGAUCUUGAAUAUUUACUAUGUGGUAGACAUCAUGCUCUGUCUGAUGCCUAGCCAUAGAAGGCACUGGGUGGAUUUUAUUUAAAUUAAACCUUUCUGUUACCCUCCCAAUUCAGAGGUGAGUGUCUUCAUCUCUUCUGUGUUAGUACUACUUUUAACCAAACUACUAGAGUUGUAGUUCAAUCUUCGUAGUACAACUGAAAAAGCCACAGCGUGGACUUUGGAGGAAGUAUGUUAAAACCUCGGGAAUGAAAGAAGAGACAGUUAGAAGAAUUGAUAAAAGAUUCCACAGCUUUGGAGACUGUGAUGAAGUGAUUUGUACCACCCAGAUGAACUGAAUCAGCGUGAUUCUGGGUAUGGGAGGCCCACCUGAGGACUGUUGCCAACAGCAUAAAAGGAGGACUAGAGGGGAAAAUGGUGUGCAGUUGAUUCUCCUAAGAAGUUUGUCCCGCUGGUUUUCCUGAUGUGAGCUCAGCUAUUCUCACUGCUCACUUCUUCUAGCAGCCUAGAAGUAGAAUCCAUCCCUUCAGCUCCCAACUCAAGGCUCAUUUCCACUCACAGGGCCUCAGAUCCAGAGAAACUGCACUCAAAGAGCUGGGCUUGCAGAAUUUCUAUGAAGGAGCCUGACCGCACUUGGAUUUGAUUUCCACAACAGGAUCCUGGAACUGAGCCUGACAGCACUUUAGAUGAGGUUUCUGGGUCUUUGGGAAGGGAGCUGUAAUUGUUGCCUGUGGGAUGAAUGUACAUAAUUUGUGCCAUGACUAUACUGGCCUUAAAAAUACCUGCACAUUCAUUCACAUUCCUCUAAUCAAGAGGUGCUGUUUCUAUUUCUUGUUCUUCUAUCUUGUGAACAGAUGCCUUGAUGAACAGAUGCAGUGGAGGUGACAAAGUGUGACUCUGAGGCUCAAGGCAUUUUAUAAUAAUUACUAUUAAAAAAUGAAAGAAAGAGAAGGGAAGUUCUUGAGUUGAAACAUAUCGAGGGUUGUAUUAGUUUCCCAGAGCUGCCAUAGCAAAUGACUAAAAACUUGGAGGUUUAACACAGUGGAAAUUUACCCUUUUAUCAUUCUGGAGUCCAGAAGUGUGAAAUCAAAGUGUUGGUAGAACUGGUUCCCUCUGGAGGUUCUGCAGUUAAAAAUCUGUUGCACGCCACUCUCAGAUUUCUGCUGAUUGCUUACAAUGCAUGGGAUGGGACUCUGUGACCCCAGCGUCUGCCUCCAUCUUUACAUGGCCUUCUCUCUGUGUCUCCCAUCAUCUGCUCCUUCUGGGAGAAGGAUGACAGACUUGCCCUAAAUCUACUAUGAUCUCAUCUGGCGAUACUUAGUUAUAUCUGUAAUGACUCCAUUUCCAUAUAUAUUCACAUUCACAGGUGUUGGGAAUUGAGUUUUGGAUGUGUCCUUUUUUUUUGAGGGAUGAAAUUCAAUGCACCAUGGGGUGUAAAACAUUUUCCAAUAACCCUUCCCCCGAAUAUUGUAUGAUCUAUUGCUUAUUGCAGAAUUUCUCAGCCUCAGCACUAUUAACGCAUCAUGUUCAAUAAUUCUUUGUCAUGGAAGAUUUUCCUGUGAGUGAAGAAGGUUUAGUAGUACCCUUGACCUCUACUCAUUAGAUACCAGAUUACCCUGCACCAGCCACAGCAACUCAGACAUGGCCAAAUAUCUCCUGGGUAGCAUCUGAGGGUAGAAUAUAAGUCUUCUAGUUAAGUAUGAAUUUUAGAUAAACAAUAACUGUUUUGUUGUAUUGCAAAUAUUACAUAGGACAUACUUCUAUAAAAAUUAUUUCAAGAGGCUGGGGUUGAAGGGUCACAAGUUUAAGGCCAGUGUGGGGAACUCAGUGGGAACUUGUCACACACACACAAAAAUAUAGGGCUAGGAAUCUAACUCAGUGCAAGGCUUUCGGUUUCAUUUCUGGUACAGGGGAAAAAAUGAAAGAAAAAAUAUGUAUUUAUUUAUUUCAUUGCUUGUGCUUGGAAUCCUGAUAUUUUGACAAAUCUAGCUCCAUCCUACCUAGGAGUUGAAAGUUACCCUUGGUCGAAAAUACCCAGUUGAGAACAAUCAUUAUAAAUUCAUAUUUAUCAAGUAUUUAUUCUGUGCUCCCAGCAUGCCAUGGACUGUCCACAAUUCAUUACAUUUAUAUCUUGCAACAAGACUGAGAAAUAGUUGCCAUUAUUACUUCUAGCACCUAAGUACAUGGAAAGACUCAGUUUGAACUCAGAUCCAUGUUUUCAUAGACACUGAGCUAUGUCUAAGGAAUGACUCUUGGCAAAAUUGUGAAUGCUCUGUGUGCUUCAGGGAAAAUGUCAGUGAUGUCAAGACUAUCAGGGUGAGAUGGACUGGAUUUGACAGAAUGAGAAUGCAAAAGGAGAACGGCUAGAAGGCAACAUAAGGGGAUACAGGAAAAGCAACUCUUUGAAGAAGGAACGUUAUGGACGAUCCUGGCAUGUGGGAAUAUUUGCCAAGAGGAGAAGCUGAGUUGUUGUGGAAAGAUCACAGUGUUUGAUGGAGCUGGCUGGAAUAUUGGCCUGGCCUUGAGUGGUACUGUAGCGACAACGGUAUCUGACACUUACUGUGUAUUCCAUGUGUCCUGGGUAUUGCUCUAAGUAAGAUCCCUAUGUUAUCUCAAUUCUCAGAUGAUGCUCUUAGAGAGAGUCGUUUUACAAAUGAGGAUUCUAAGGAUUAAAAGAAGCUAAAACAAUUGUCCCACACUGCAGAAAGUUCUCCAGAUGGGCUUUGGACCAGCCCGGUUCUCCUUUUCCUCUUCUCACUUGUCUCAAGAAUAACUACAGAAUGUGUUGGAAAUUCACAUCCUGAGACAAGGAUAGACUGGCUGGACCAGCUGGGAUUGUUUCAGUCCCUUCUAAAACCAGGAUGUCAUUCAGUGCUUUAGCCUAGCGUGUUAAGUGGGUCCUGGCUCUAAAAUCCAGGCAAGGUUGCUUUUGAGGGGUGCCUCAGUUGUGCAAACAGGGCUCUAUCUACCCUGAGCAGCUAUGCUGAGCCUUGGGGCCCCAGCUUAUAACGCUUCCAUGCUUCUGUUGUUGUUGCUACCUAUCUGUAAUUAAUAAACCUGUGAUGCAGGUAACUUCAUGUGUGUGUUAUAUUUCACCAGAUUCUGCUAAGUGGUAACCUAACCAGAGUACAGCGAACCCACUUCACACAUCUAAGCUGGUGAGGGCAGAGGGCAAUUUCUGGAUGCCACAGUCCAUAUGUUGCAAUCACUGUUCUGUGUUACUUCUCUUCAGUGCCUCAAGUCUCAGUUUCCUUCUGUCAUCAGUGGGAAUAAGAACCCUUGGCUCUUACAGUGACUCUGAGAAGUCACUGUGCGGAUGUGUCUAGAUCACAGGGCAUAGCACAAGGUAGCCAGUGGUUACCGUUCUUAUUAAGGGAAGAGCAGUGGACCUGCAGCAGGGACCUUAUUACCUCCGCUGCAGGCUCUGUGUGUUUAUCUGGAUUGUAUCUUAUUCAUCUUUGUUCAUUUAAUUUCUCAACUAAAGUCCUCUGAUGGUUUACUGUGUCCCAGUGGCUAUUCUGACAUGCAGCUAUGACUAAGAUGCAAUUCCUGUCUUUAGGAGUCUAGCAUUUCCUUUCCAAGCUCAGGCAUUCAAGAAAUGCCUGCUGGAAGGAUGAAUGUGAGAGCAAAUAAGGCCUGCUUUUCCAACACAAGGGUAGAUUCUUCUGUGAAAGUUACCAAGCAUCCCUCCCAUUUCCUCACCCUUAAUAAUAACAAUAACCACCUGCUGCCCAGUGCGAGGCCCUAUACUUUAGACAUGUUCACUCAUUGACUGGUAUCACGGAUUAGGGUCUUCCAGUGAAAGUGAUUUUACCCAUCUGAGGGAUACAGAUGUGAUAUUUUCAUUGUAAGGGCAGAGUGACUUAAUUAACCAGUAUUUAUAAAGUGCUUUCAAAGCCAUAGAUGAAAAGCAAUGCAAAACUGCCUUGUGCUAUUGGUGUUAAUAAUUUACUCUACUCCUACACCAGUACUUUCAAAUAUGUUCCUUGAAACAGGAAGAAGUAGCAGCUAGUCUUGAGAUAAUUAAACCCUACAUAAAGAUCACCUACUUCUUGAUUAGAGCAAAAACAAGCCCUUUUCCUUUCUGCUGGGCUGCUCAUUUUCCUUAUUCCCAGGUGAGCUACCUUGUUUUGGGAACAUCUGCUGUUGAGACAGUAACUUUCUCUCUGGGUAUCUAUCGCUUAAGACAGGUAUUUCAACCCAAAUCUUCCCAGGGUCUCAUCAAAACCUAGGAAAUAGAUGGGCCACAAGAUCAUUUGCAUAAUUAACUUUUGAUUGCAUGCAAUUUGUAUCACUUAUCUUGUAAAGUUACAUAUUACUUGAUUUUCUGAAAACUUUGUCAUUUCUGUUUCUAUCAUCAUAGAAGUGGCAAAGGUGUUGGAUCACACCAGGGACCUGUUUUAGGGCUAGGAGGAUGGGAGGUUAGUACCUGCUAUGUGUGUACAAUGUAAUUUCAUGUAAUUCACUGGCACUCAGUUUUGGCUGCAUGCUGAAAAAUACUUAAGCAUGGGUCUCAUGCCCAGAGAUUAUGUGAUUUGUCUGGCUGGGCGGGGAACUUUAGCCUCAGGAGCUAAACCACUGCCUUCCUCAGUGAUUCUCAUGCAGCAAAGACUGAGAACUACUGAUUUAAUCCUUAUAACAAACCCAUACACUUUUGCUCCCUGCUCCACUUUAAAGGCAUGGAAAUCAAGGCUUGGAGAGUUAGGUGGAAACCAUUCAUCAUUAUUAAUGUAAUAGUUGAUCAUUUUUGCAUUUGUAUGUCAGAAUCUGUGCUAAGUACAUUUAGUGUGUGUUUAAUUCUUGCAAUGACUAAGCAGGAAUGAAUAACCUUUUUAUUAUGGAUAAACAAACGGAUAAACAAACUUUUUAUAAAAAGUACCUAAUCUGCCUAAGGUCCCUUUAUCAUCAAGAGAUCACUGCAGGGGAGAAGAUUGUGUGGAUCAGAUUAGACUGCGUUGGGAUUUGAACUUUGGUGCAAACCUCAGGCUCGUGCAGCAUCCAGCCCCAGCACUCCUUAAGGAUCUCAGUUUUGUCUUCCUCAGGGCUCCUUAAGGCUUAGCAACUUUCUGACCCCUUGAAAGUCACCUGGAAAAGACUGUAAGGUGGCAUGGAACAAUUAGGGCCAAAGAUUAGACUUCCCAGACACACUCGGAGAACCAGUACUUUCUUCCUCUGUCUCUUCCUCAAAUAUUUGGGAACUCUGUGCUAGAGACAGAGAUAGACCAGGACUGGUACAUAGCAACUAUCACUUGCCAGUCCAUACUGGAGCUUUGAAUUAACCUGUAGAAGUUGGGUUUUGCCCCUUGGGGCAAAGUAAGAUGAUGAUUUUUCUUUUCUGAGAGGAAUUUUCUUGUCCUCAUCUGGAAGGGAGCAAGAGGAAGAGAAUUUCAUUACCCUUGUUCAGCCAAAUGUGCUCCUGAAGAGUGAGUGCCGUGGUGCCUUGCCAUUCACAUAUAAAUUCAUUCAUUGAGUCUUUUUGAGCUCCUGCCAGGUGCCUGGCGCUAUUGUAGAUGCUGGAGACUUUGAAAAGUGAGGCCAAGCCCCUUUAUCCAUGGUGACUUAAGCGAUGAGAAGCAGCAAGCCAUGUAUAGAUGUGGAAGAGCAGUGUUCCUAGCAGAGGGGACUGCAGUGAAGAGUCCUGAGCUGUGUCUGAGCUGGAUGGCUUGAAGGAGCAGUGGGGCAAUGUGGCUCAUUGUGGAUGAAGCUGGGAGAGUACCAGUGGGGUGGGCAAGGGCUGGAUCAUAUCAUCCCUUGUAGCUGAGGUGAGGUGUUUGAAUGCUACUCUGAGUGUAAGAGGAGGCUUUUGGAUGAUCUUACAUAGUGAGGGGACAGGAUCUAACUUACAUUUUUGAUCACUCUGGCUACACUAGGAGAAUACACUGUAGGGGGCAGGCAUGGAAGCCUUGGCUGAGUUAGGGGAUGUUGAAACCAUCUAGGUGAGAAAUGAUAGUUUGAAGCAGGGGGUGGCAAGAGCAGUGGUUGCACUGGGCAUCUGUUUUGAAAGCAGAGUCAAUAGGACUUGCUGGUUAAUUCACUGGAGUGAGUAGGGGAAACAAUAAUAAGCAAAAGCUUCACUGCUAUGAUAGGAAAGGCUGAGGGAGAAUCGGUUCUUGUCCAACUAAGUUUGCAAAAAGAUGUCCUAUUGUAUUUUCUGUUUUAGAAAUUUCUUAGUAGCGUAUGGAGGGUCUGAAAUGAUCAGAAAUAACAAUAUCUGCUUAACUUUGGUUAACAUAGCUUUUAUCUUACCUACUGCAUCAAGUAAAUUUGUCCUUGCCCCGCAAAAUGUGGUAAGAUUCUGCAGACAUUAUUUGAAUGACACCCAGUAUUAGUGUGUUAAGAUAUUCUGUGUUUGUUUGUGUGUGUGUCAGAAGAGAGAGAGAGAUGAGAGAGAGAGAGAUAGAGAGAGAGAGAGAGAGAGAGAGAGAGAGAGAGAGAGAGAGAGAGAGAAGGAAAGUCUGUGUUUCCCCAGCCAAGUUGGAGAAGUAACUUAGAGAUUAGCAGUGUUCUAAAUUCUGAUAGAUAUACUUUUAUUCUUUCCCUCUCCAAAUCUUUCCUAAAUUUAAGGCACCUCUGCCUUCAGUUUAAUUAGUACUCCUGCCCCCAGUCUAACUCAAGCCUAUCUCCACUAAAUCAGAGGCACUUACUAAGAAAAUUCACUGCCCAAAACCUUAAAUGGCUUCUUGUUUGCUUCAGGAUAAAUUCCAAAAGCUUUACUCCGCCUGUGCCAUGCACUUCACACGUUGCCUACCUUCUCAGAUACAUUUUACUCUAUGGUCUAGAUAAACUGAGUUUUGUAAAGCUUCUUAUGUUGUCUUCUACCUCUGAGCUUUUGCACAUGCUCUUCCCUCUGCUGGGUACACUGUGUGACCUCACGGUGCUCUAGUUUAGGUAUUAUUUGUGCAGCACUACUGGUGCAGGAAUCGCCUGACUUCUCCUGCCUGAGUCAGACCUCUGAUUUCCAGGUCUCCCUAGCACUUGCAGCAUGUGUCAUAGGUAUUUGUGCUGGUUUUCUUUUCCUGCCAAUAGUUGGGUUCCAUAAAGCACAGCUGAUUGUCCUGUUACCUCCAGUGCCCAGCAUAUGCCAGGCACAAAAUGAUUACUGUAGAGUACAUCUGCACUGGGUGAGAGAAUAAAUGAAUGGAUGUAACUCUCUGGAUCCUUAUCAAACAGAAGCAAGCUGCUGACCAGUCUCCAGUGUCCUGCUUCCUAUGACUGGAUGCCAACAUCCGGAGCUGAGUAAAAUUAUCACAGAGCUAUGAGUCUUGAAGGUCACUGACUCUCUCUUUCUGUCUUUAGACUGAGUUCUUCUUGGAGAGCAUCCAUGGUUUGAUGGUCUCUUUUAAAGAUGGGAAGUUUGGAGUCAUAGAUGGUGACUAAGACAUUAAUUCAAUUUAGCAGUCAUUGCUGGGAAUGCAGAAAUGGUUAAGAUGUAGAGGAUUAUGCAACCAAGGAGAUAGAUUCACUAAUAAAGUUCACAGAAGAAAAUGGUGAAAUGAGUGAUUUUUGGAGCAUUUCUGGGGAGUAUGGAAAGAGUAAUUAAUAUGUCUUAGAAAAAAAGGGGAAUUGAAGAAGCUCUAGGAGAAAAAGUGAUAAUUUGAUCUCUUAGGGCUGACAAGGAUUUGCUAGUGAAAAAUCUAAGGAAGGGGAUGUGGAGGGUGGGUGCUCAGGAAGAGUAGGGGCAUAGCUGAAGAUGUUGGUGGCAUAUUUGAGGACCAGUGAAUCAUAUACCUACAGAACCAAGCAGGAUUGAAUCUAAGACUCUAUUUGUGGGAUACUUUCGCUUAUAAAUAAAAGAAAUCCCUGCCAGAAAAGGUUCAUGCAUUAAGAAAAAAUCCUGUUGCAUCACAAGAAUUCUGGAGGGAGAUGGUUGUAUAGUGACCAAUUCAGCCACUCAGCGAUAUCACCAAGAAGCCAAGCUUUUCCCUCCGUAUUUCUACACACUGUGAUUCUGAUGAAUUAAUUUGAGACUGUGUUCUCUCCUGUCAGUUUUCCUCUUUUUUUUUGUAAUCACUAAGGUGAAUAUUUUCCAGAGGCUCCACCAACCCUUUUUUCUACAAGUCUAUUGGCCAGGGUCCUAUCCCAUACCUAAAAUUAUGAAAGUCUCUGGAGAGUAAGAUGUCCUCUCAUGAGUGUCUUAGGUCAGUCAAGACUCACACCUGCACUCAGGGCUGAGAAUGGUACCUUAGGCACCUCAAGACAUGAGCAGAAUCAGAGGCCUAUGAACAGGAGACAAGAUCCCAGUAGGAUGGGUAGCUAAUUUUGCCCACCACAGAAAGUUGGAGUACCUAAGCUUUGUUCAGAGCUCCAGCACAAUGUGGUCACCACCUAGCAUCACUAGCCUCUUCCCAACUGCUGCCCUGAGGACAUGGAGCUCCAACAGUGUCAAAUGUGAAGACAGCAGCCUCACUAAGAUGGCUAACCAGCACACACAAUUGAGUAAGGCCAGCUCCUCUGUAUAUGUUUAUGCACAAUUAUUUAUGUAUUUCUUAUAUUAUAAAUGUAUUUAAUUAUCAUAUUUACAUCUCAUAUAUAUGUUAAAUAUGUGUCAUAUUAUACACAUAAAAUGUAUGUCAAGUAUAUGUCGUGUAUAAACUGCAUGAACAUUUGUCUACCUGAUUAUCUGUCUCCAGUAGUUGGUUUUGCUUCUCCUACUGCAUGCUGAUUGGUACAGGAUUUUCAUCAGAGUAGCAAUGAUACUGAGUGCUUUUUCAGUGUCAGGACUGUGUAGAGUGUUUGAGACAUGUGACUUACUUAAUCCUCACAGUAAUUCUACCAGCAGGGACUACUAUCCCCUUUUCACUGAUGAGCAACACGAGUUCAGACAGGUCCAGUCACUUGCCUGUCAUCAUAGAUCUGGAGGGCUUGAAUGCCAGCCUGUGGUUGGCAGGCUGAGUUUUAAACCACUUCACUGUGCUGCCUCCUUGAAAAACGCUUUCUAGCUAGACUUAUUUACAUUAGGAUUCAACCUUAUGGACACGCUAAAGCAUGAACAGUAGACAGAGGGAAGGAUGAGUGUGCUUACUUUGGAGACAGGAUUUGCUCUCAAGGUCAUGAUGUCUUCAGGGUUCUGAUUUACAUGCGUGUGUGGCAUUUUCACUGGCUCAUGAAAGAACCUCCAUGCCUGGCCUUCUUUUGGAAAGCUUUCAUGUUGCAAAUGUAUGUUUUUUUCUUCUUUUGGAAAGCAUUCAUGUUGCAAAUGUAUGUUUCUUUCAGUGGCAAGAUAACCCCACCAUUUCUAUGAAAAGUGUAUUGUGACCACGUGGGCCACAUACACACUGUAUACCAGUCACUCUUUCCCACUCCAAGAUGUGCAUUUUUCAGAGACUAAGCCACAUGAGGGGGUAGAGAGGCUUAUUUGAAGUCAAGCAAUUCAGGGAGAAUUCUCUGGGCCAAUGUGGUGUGUGUGCCUCUGGCUACACACAGGAUGACACUAGGUAGCCCUGACCAACAAAUAGAGAUGAAUCAUAUGGUUGUUCACCUUUAAAUGCGUAGUCUGCUGCUGAUGGCUGAAAGUGUUUGUUUGGUUCUUAUGCAUCUCUAAUACUUCUCUAAUGCUGGCCAAUCUGCCUUUGAAAAAGAAAACAAGUCACAGUGUGAAGGUCUUCAGUGGACAGCAUAUUUAUAGAGCAUUUUGCUGCAUUUAGUGUAUUAUAUUUAAUUUCCAGCUUUUGCUGAUAAUCAAGGGCAAGGAUGAUGCUUUGCUACUUGUAUAUGUUGGAGUUUUUCUAAAUAAGACAUAAAUCAAUUUAAAGAUAUGCAUGAAUAGUGCAGGUGGUUCUGCCUUAAUUGAAAUGUGCUGUGUGUAUAGACUGCAAUCUGACUUUCAAAGACAGUAUGAAUAAGAGCAUGUAAAUAUCUCAUUUAUAAUGUUUGAUAUUAUAAUGUGUUUAUAUUACAUUUUGGAUAUUUUAGGUCAAGUGAAGUAUAUUAUCUGGGCAUAGUGACACAUGCCUAAAAUUCCAGUUACUUAGGAGGCCGAGGCAGGAGGAAUCACAAGUUCAAAGCCAACUUAGGUAACUUAGUAAGACCCUAUCUUGAAAUAAAAAUAAAUUAAUAAGGCUGAGGGAUGUGGCCCAAUUAAAGACCCUGGGCCCAAUUCCCCUGUGCAAAAAGCAAAAAGCAAAAACAAACAAACAAACAAACAAACAAAACCCCCAAAACAAAAAAAAAAACACCUAAAUUUAAUUUUAAUUCUUUCUUUUUUGCUUCUUUAAGUGGUUUGCAGAAAAUGGAGCGGUGCAGAUGUGGCUCAUUUUCAGUUUCUUUUGGAUAAUGCUGGCAGUUAGGCUGUGAGACACAGGAAAGCAGAGGCACUGGUUUCUUGCUCUCUGCUUGUACCUUCACUGUCUAACGUCACACCUGCAGGGUAGUGAGUGCUUGUGGGUUUUUAUUAAGCCACACUGGGUUUGUGCAAACUACCACUGUUGUUUCUUGGGCUUUACUAAUAUUUACUGAAAAUCCUUUCUUUUUGGGACUGUCUCAGACAAUGAUUUGAUAAGCCAGUUAUUAUGGGUCAAUCAAAUGCCACUUUAUGAUUUAAAACCUGCUUAUUCAGAUUAAUGACCAUUAAGUGGCUUUUAUCACAACUCUUUUUGGUUAAUAUUUUCAAUUAUUUACAGCUUCAUUUUAUAUUUUAAUAUAAAUUAAAUCCUUUAAAGUUAAUCCUUUAAUAUAAAUUAAUCCUUUAAAGUUAGAAUAACCUGUUUUUUAAAAGCUAUCGGUCAUUUAAAAACAAAUUUAUUAUGGAAAACUAAACAUAUAAACCCCUAACAAGAACCCCCCCCCAAAAUAACAAAACAGAAACAAAAUACCAAAAAUACACUUAAAGAUUUUAAAAACAAUAUAAGGUUUUGAACAAGUAGAUAGAUGAAAGUUGCCUGAACAGUAAGCUCACAUUUAAGUGUUGUUAUAUAUUUUAAAUAACAGCUUUAUUGAGAUAUAAUUCAUACACCAUAAAAUUCACCCUUUAAAGUAUGCAAGUCAAUGGUUUUUAGUGUAUUCAUAGAUUUGUGCAGCUAUCACCACUAUCUGGCUUCAGAACCUUUCUGUCACUGUAAAAAGGAAGCCUGUACCAAUUUUCCCUCUCCCUAUUGCCUGGCAACCAUUGACCUACUCUCUUAUCUCUGUAUGUUUGCUAUUCUUGACUUUUCAUGUGGACAGAGUCACACACCAUGUGUCCUCUUCCAGUUAGCCUUUUUUACUUCUCAAUAUGUUUUUAGGGUUCACCAUCUUAUAGCAUGUAGCAAUAUUUCAUCCCAUGUAAGGGCUGAGUUGUAGGCCCUUGGAUGGAAAGGCCACGUUUUGUCUGUUCAUUAGCUGAUGAAUAUGUGGGUUGUUGAAAAGUAAUUGUGUCUUAUGGCCCUGAAUCAAGGCCGGCAGCUUCCUGAUGCUGUUGGUUUCAAGCAGGAGCCUAAAGAGAUGUCUUUCUGUGGUCUGUUGGCCAUUUCAGAACUUGGGCGGUGAAAUAGUCAAUUCAUUAGAGAGAAACAGCUACGCCCCAUGAGUGGCUGUGAGCGUGGCAGGCUACCGCGGCCCAGCAUGGGAGCCUCCGGCUUUUACUGGGACCUGAGCCAUGCUGGGACCUGGAGCGCUGGGAAACCAAGCAACCCCUCCCUGCUGCCUGUUUUGUUUUGUUGAACUUCAAUAUACAUGAAAGUAUGGACAGCUAUUUUGAAGAGAACAAGAGACUCUGUGACAGCCAUUAGUGACUUCCCUAUUGUCUGGUUUUGAAGACCUAAAACGCCUUCCUCAUUCUGUUUGGAGCAGUUUUAUACUAUGUUGUUUUGUAUGCAUUGUCUGUAUACAGAGACAGGGACAACUAUUUGGAAGAAAACAAGAGACAAUAUAGUAGAUAGUGAAGAUCUCAGGUUGUCUAGCUUUGAAAUUUCUCUCUCUUACAUUGCUUUCUUAUGUUCUAUUUUGUUGUUUUGUUGUGUUUAAUUUUACCCCCUUUAAAAUAAAAAUAAAAAAGAGAAGUAAUUCUGUCUUAAAAUUACAUAACACGAUAUAAGUCGCACGUGAUAUGUAUGUGUUUAAUAAUGAAUGCUGUUAUUUGUUGAGCACUUAUGUAAUAGGUGUUCUAAAUGUUGUGUGGUUAGCCCACUUGAUGAUCAAAAUAACCCUAGCAGAGAGGUGUGUUACCCCAUUAUUCUUAGGAGGAAGAUGGGAAAUAGGGAGAUUUAGUAUGAAGACAAAUAGCUAGUGAGUAAUGCCAACUUAGGAAUCACCUUUGAAGCAUGUACUUUCUCAUUAAGGAAUUUCAUAUAAUAAAGUUGAUUUUGAGGGGAGGUAGAGAAUAUACAUUCUAUAAAUUUUAAUACAUUUGUAAUUUUUUUAACCACCACCACAAUCAGGUAAAAACUUUUGUAAUCCCAAAAUAGCCUCGUGUGCUCUUUCUUCCCCAUCCGAAACCCUUCCCAAUCACAGACAUAAUCUCUAUCUUAUAGUUGUUGGUUUUUUUUUUGAGAUUGUCAUAUACAUGGAAUCCUGCAAUAUGUAACUUAUGAGCUUGAUUUAUUUUACUCAGGGUAAUGCUUUUGUGAUUCACCCAACUUAUUCCAUGUAACAGUAGUUUGUUCCUUUUUCAUUGCUUAGUAGCAAUCAGUUGUAUGUGAUGUACAUUUGUCCAUCUUUCAUUUUUUAAAAACUAGCAUUUUAACUAAGGCAUAAUAUUCAACCAGAAAGAGCACACACUUUAAAGAGAAUAAAAACAAAACAAAACAAAACAAAACAAAGCAAAUCAGAACAGAACAAUGCAACCAACUAGCCGUAACCAAAGUGCACACAUUUUAUGCACAGAGAUCAAUGCCUUUUUAAGAACUUGAGCAUUGGGGCUGGGGAUUUAGCUCAGUGGCAAAAGCGCCUGCCUUGCAAGCAGGCAGUCGUGAGUUCAAUCCCUGGUACCGAUAAAAAUGAAAAAGACAAAAAAAAAAUAACCAAAGAACUUGAGCAUUGCCAGUAACCCCAAUCGACUCUGCUUCUUGUCGAAGUAACCUUUCUUUCAACCUUACUUCGAGCUCCUAACUUGACCUGUUUUUGAACUUUAUAGGAACAGAAUUAUAUAAGAUAGACUUUUGAUCUGAGUUUUUAUGAUCAAAAUAUUUAUGAAUUUUGUUCAAGUAGUAGUAAUUUAUUCUCUCUUGUUUUCUUCCUGCCCUUAUAAUAUUUCAUUUCAAGUAUAUCAGAGUAUUGUUACUUGAUGAUGACACUUUUUUUUUUCCAGUUUGGGGCUACUUUGGGGCUGGAUGAUAAAGCAGGUGUAUGCUACACUAUUGUAGAUGAUGCUGAAGGUUUGCUAAACUGAAUGUAUCAACUUUUUGUGUACCAGCAGUGAAUAUGAUUCAGUUGGUUUACAACCUUAGUAACAUUUGGUAUUGACAUUUGAAAAGAAUUAAGCUGUUUGUUUAAAUCUGCGAAGUGGUGUCUUACUAAAAUUGAAGUUUGACUUGACCGAUUCUGGUCGGUUAUGUCACACUUGGUUUUACUCUCUUCCAAAACAGCAAUAAGAACCGUGGGAGCAAUGAAACCCAAAAUGUGUAAUAGUCAUUAUACAAAAGAGAGGGAAAAAAGUGCUCUAAACUAUAUAACUGCAUGUAUAUUUAAGUGUAUAAGAUAGAAAAUGAUAUUACAGAGUUUUAUUGGAUCAUUGAACAGAACUGUUUGCAGUAUCAUUGUUGGAAUGUCCACUCUACAAGCUUUAAUUUUGUGACUUGAACAAUUAUUUCUAAGAUGGCAAUAGGUAAUCCAUUAACUAGUGAUUUCCUACUGUUCAUUUUUUUCUUCUGUAAAUCUGUAUAACUUGUACCCUUUCACUGUUUUUCUUUCUUUUCUCCUUAAAUAAAAUUUUUAAAAAAAUUGAAGUUUGUCUUUUUGAUGACUAACAACUAACAAUAUUGAAUACCUUUUCUGAUUACAUACAUAUCCUUUACGAAACACCUGUUCAAGGUUUUUUCCCAUUUAAAUGGCCUGUCCUUUUUUAUUAAUUGCUAUAUAUGAAUAUGUAUAUUCUAAAUGUGAGGUUUUGGUUAGUUAACUCUAUUGCAAGUAUCUUCCCCCCUGUGGUUUGCCCAUUCAUUUUAUUUGAUGAAGGUUUUGUUCUGAAAUGCAAAUAAUAUAUGUAUUACUUUAACCAUUUAAAAGUGUGUAAUUCAGUAGCUUUAUGAACAUUCACAGUGUUGUACAAAUAUCACCACUAAUUCUAGAAAUUUUUCAUCAGCCUAAGAGCAAACUCUACACCUGCUAAGCAGCCACUCCCCUGUUUCUCCCCUCAAUCCUCCGGUGGCCACUCAUCUACUUUCUGUCUCUGUGGACUUGAUUACUCUGGACAUCUCAGAUAAAAGGAAAUGAUUCCUUUGAUAGAUUCCUUUGGUAAGCAGCCUUUUGUCACUGACUUCUUUCAUUUGACAUCAUGUUUUUGAGAUUUAGCUAUCAUAUGCCAUUAAAGAACUAAAUCACGAUGAGAUAUCACUUCACACCCACCAAGUUGACAAUCAUCAUUAUCAUCAUAAUAAAAAGGAAAAUAAUGUGUUGGAAUGGCGAUGACACAAAGAAAUCAGAGCCUUCAAGCAUUAAUGGUGGGGAAGAUUGUGGGAUUUUCUCAGUAUCUUACUGACGACUUUUAUUGGGGGUGGGUACCAGGGAUUGAACUCACGACUUGCCAGGUAGGGGCUUGUGCUCCUGAGCUGAAUUCCUGGCCCUCACUGAUGAUUUUGAUGAACAGAAGUUCUUGAGUGAAAUCAAAUUUAUCAAUCAUUCUACUUAGUACUUUUCAUGUCCUAAUGAAAAAAAAUCUUCAUGUGCCAGGUUUUUCUCUUAAACACUUAAUUAUUGUACUUCUACAUUUAGGUCUAUCCUCUACCUGGAAUGUAUUUUGCAUACAGUGUGAAGAAGGAUAUUUUUCUUAUUCCCAUAUGAGUUUUCAUCAACAAAGUUAUCAGGUUUUGGAAAUAGCACCUCUCCCUGUUUUAUUGAAUAGUGUCUGUCAUAAGCCAGAUAAUGGGUCUGGUUUUGGACUCUAUUUUCUCCUCUACUGAACUCUUUGUCUAUCUUUGUGCCAUUAUCUCCCUUGUCUUAAAACACUAUAGCUUCAUUUUAACUCUUGAUAUCUGGAGGUAAGUCUUCCAAUUUAGCUAAUAGUCAACAUUGUCUUGAAUAUUCUUGUCCUUUCUAAUUUCUAUAUAAAUUAUAAAGUCAGUUAAUCAAUUGCAACUGAAAAGAUACCUGUUAGGAUUUGAUCAGAGUGGCUUUUUUUUUUUUUCAGAACACAAUUUACUUCUGUACUUCUUUAGGUCUUGCAUUAAGUUAGAAUCCUGUGGAGAGGUAAAACCACAUCUACGAUUUGAAUAAGGAAAGCUUAAUAUAAAAAUUUGUCAGCUAGCAAAGUUAGUAAACAGGCGAGUAACCAUUUAAAAAGGUCAGGUUAGAGUGCUGAUGGGUAAAAAAAAAAAAACAACUGCAGAAAUCAGCUGUUGGGGCAGAUUAAUAGAGAAUAAGUGAAGAUAACUGGAAACUUAAAAAGGGUUCCUUCCCCAUUGCCAAAGCUGAGAUUCUGAUGUCUAGGAGAAGGCUUUGCUACUACUAACCUGCAGUGAGCUAGAAAUAGCUGGCCACAGCUGACCUGGAGGAGGGCUUGCACUUGGAUGGUAGAGGAAGUUCCCAGAGGGGUUAGGCCAGACUAUUGGUCUCCAGGAUUUCUGAUAUGGUCAGCAAAUGUGGGGAUAAUUUAUCUGCUUAGUUCAUUCUGACCUCAAAGAAUAAAUUUAACAUACAGUAUUUCACCAUUUUGGAUGCAUUGCCUCUAGGGUUUUUUUGUUUGUUUGUUUUUUGAUAAUCAAACCUAUUCUUAGUUUGCAAAGAUGAAUCUAUAACUGGGUAUUGGAUUUAAAAAAAUAUGUUUCUUCAUCUAUUGAGAUAAUUCUAAGGUUUUUUGUUCCUUAUUCCAUUAAUGUGAAGAAUUAUAUGAUUUCUUUUAUAUAUGAAACUUUGUAUUUUUUUAAAAUUUUAUUUAAAAGGAAAAAGAGAAAAGCACAAAACAAAACAAAGCGGUGUAAGGGUACACGUAAUACAGAACUACAAAAAAAAAACAGUAAGAAAUCCCCUGUUAAUAGAUUACAUAUUAUCAUCUUAGAGAUAGUUGCUCAAAUCACAGUAUCAAAGAAUACAAAGUGGACAUUCAAACAUUGAGACUGCAAACAGUUGUUGUGUUCAAUGAUCCAACCAAAAACAUUAAUAUGGUCAGCUAUUUAACACCCCUAAACACACUUGCUGUUGUAUCCAUUAGAGCUCUUUUUUUUCCCCUCUCUUUUUUACAACAAAAUUUACACAUUUUGGAUUUUAUUACUCCUUAGUUCUUAUUACUUUUUUGGGGGGGGAGAGAAUAAAGUCAAAUUUGGCAAAACAAAGCUGUCAGUCAAAACCAAGGAUAGACAUAGCACAUGAUGUAAAACAGAGUACAAGGUUAUCAACAAUGGUUAUCAAUGAUAUCUCUUGUUUCCUUAAAAAGAAUUGUCUAUCUCAUUAGAUAUUAUAAAGUUGAACAAAACAGUAGAGAACAAGACCAAUAAA